CAAAGGGCUCAAGGCAGCUUUCACAAUGCUCUUCCUCCUGCUCUCAGUCUUAUCUCCACAACAAGAACCCAGUGAGGCAGCUUGGGCUGAAAGUAUGUGAAUGACCCAAAGUCACCCAGUUGGCCCUAUGGCUGAGUGGGGACUAGAACCCAGAUUGCCCGAGUCCCAGUCCUAUGCUCUUAACCACUACAUCAC